rnacentral:rRNA from 1 species
CACGUAGGCGGAUAUUUAAGUCAGGGUGAAAUCCCAGAGCUCAACUCUGGAACUGCCUUUGAUACUGGGUAUCUUGAGUAUGGAAGAGGUAAGUGGAAUUCCGAGUGUAGAGGUGAAAUUCGUAGAUAUUCGGAGGAACACCAGUGGCGAAGGCGGCUUACUGGUCCAUUACUGACGCUGAGGUGCGAAAGCGUGGGGAGCAAACA